CGCGUUUUCUUGGCGGGAUCAGACUAUUUUUGAUUAUAAGGAAUGGGAGCCCAUUUAAGCUUCACUAAAAGGAAGAUGUAUUGUGCAGACACAGAGUUCUCUCCAGAAGCUGAAGGGGAAAGGUACACAUGUGUCUUAAAAAAGAAGUCAAACAAAUACCCACCAUUUGCUUCAACGUGGAUGGAACUGGAGGGUAUUAUGCUGAGUGAAUCUAGAAUCUCGUCUACAACUAGCCUUUGGAGUUCCUGAGAUUCCUUCUUAAAAUGGCACGUGCCAAGACAGUGAAGAAGAGGCCCCUUGAUAGCCCUGAGGAGGUACACCUGGGAGAAGGAUGCUGGUGAAGAACAGGUGAGAGAAGACACAUAGGAAAUGACUAGCCAAGUGGGUGUGUGUGAGGAGAAAAUGGAUGCGUUGGACAGUAAAGGUUUCUUCAACAAAUCUGAGCAUGUCUUCAACAAAUGCAAAUAUUUCUCUAAGUGCCUUAUAGUUUCUAAACUACUUUUGGGCAUGUGCUCAGUUACACAUACACACACAUAUGCAUAUACAUCUUGAUUUAAGAUUUUAGGACUGCCGAAUACCUUUAAGCCGUUGAGUAAUAGUUUUUCACUCUAAAUACUUACAGUGCUUUGUAAUAUUUUCCACUUUGUCAGGAGUUUUGGCAGGAGCUACCAUGCAAGUGGGAGCAAGUUAUGGAAAGGGCCACACCUGCUGAGAAAAGAAGCAACUCCUUCAGCCAGAAACAAAGCAAGCUUAUCAUAAAAGACAACACCUGAAAAAAUCUAGUUGCGAUAACUGUGAUGCACACUGCAGACACCUACCAGCCUAACUUCUCAUAUCUCCAUGUGAGGGCCGCUUUUAGAGCAACUUUUUAAAAACAUGCUCUGACACUUCUGAGUCAUCAGAAAAGACAGUAUUGGAGUUAACCUGAAAGAGAAGGAUCCGUGCAACAUUUAGGACAGGAUGGAAAUAUUCUUGUCCUCAUACUUUUAAGUGAGAACCCGAGACUUUCUCUCCUCAGCAAUUCUGAAGGGCUGUUGGCACUCAGGAAGUGGAAGAUGACCUAGUUUUGAGGAUGACAUAUAUAAUGUGACAUGUUGCUCUUGGGAAGAGAAAUAUAUAAUUUAAAAAACCCAACCAUUCAACAUUAUUAGGAAUUUCCACUUUAAUGCCUUGAGACCUAACAGACACACUUAUCUGAAGUUCUCUGUUAGAAGGCUUCACUUGACCUAAAUCCAUCAUUUAUUCAACAUUUAUGGAACAUCUACCAAAGAGUAGCCACUGUUCUAGGCACCAGGGAUCCUGCAGUGGACCCUAUUUUCACAUAGUUCAUAUUCUACUGGGGAGAGAUAGGCAACAAAGAAAAAAGUAGACGAUAUGUCAAAGGAAAAAUGAAACAAGCUAAAAGCGUGGGGAAUAAGGAUUCUGUUUUAUGAGGGUCAUAAUCAUGGGGAUAGUGAACUUAGUUGGUGAUAUAUGAGCUGAUGCCUGAAUGGAGAGUUAGUAAUGUGACAAUGUGGAGGAAGAAUGGAUCCUAGAUAGAAGGUAUAGCAAGUACAAAGUUCCUACAGUAGAAACAUGUUUGGCAUGUUUUUUUUAUUUUAAGAUUUCAUUUAUUUUUGAGAGUGAGAAUAAGCAUGAGCCGAGGGGAGGGGCAGAGGGAGAAGCAAACUCCUCACUGACCAAAGAGUCCAAUGUGGGACUUGAUCCCAAAACCCUGGGAUUAUAACCUGAGCUACAGGCCGAUGCUUGACCGACUGAAGCACGCAGGCGCCCUGGCAUGUUAAAAAAAAAAACAAAAAAAAAACAAAAAAACACAACCAUUAAAAAGUCCAGUGUGGCUGCAGUGGGUGAUGGUGGGGAAGAGUGAUCAGUAGUCAAUGAGAUACUUGCACAAGUUGCCAAGUAUCCAGUCUUAGAGCCAAGAAAAGGACUUGGUAUUUUAAGUAUGUUGAGAAGCGAGUGGAGGUUCCUAGCAAGGGAGUGACCUGAUGCGACUAAGCAAGGGAUCAUCCGAUUGCUGCAUGCAUCACAGAUUAUAAGCAGCAAAGUGGUACAGCCCAUUAAGAGAGUACUAUAGUUAUCGAGACAAGAAAAAUGGGAACUUGAAUGGCAGCAGUACCAGUGGAGGUGCAAGGAAGUAUUCAGAUAUAUUUUAAUUAUACAGCCAGUAUGACUUGCUUAAGAAUUAGAGAUUAAGUUCAAGCAUCACAUUUGUGGUAUAGCUAGUAUCUACCACUGGACCUUCUUGAUUUUCCAUUCAUUGCCCCAUGUCACACUGACCUCUUCUUGUUUCUGUGAAAUAUUAGUGUGUAACUUCAUAAUGUCAUAUGAACUAUUCCUUUCAAGGAAUAAAUUUGAGGUGUUCUCAUUAGAGAAUCUGGGU
rnacentral:lncRNA from 12 species